CAAGCUAAAGCUAGUAGAAGCACUUUAUUUACACUAAUGAAAAUAUUGUUUAAUCAAUAUAGCUUGA
rnacentral:tRNA from 1 species